rnacentral:rRNA from 1 species
UGGUAAAAUGUGAUGUACCUAGUAAUAUUAGUGAUUAAUAUGAGGCUAACCGAGUUAGUUAAAAUUCUAAGUAUAUAUGUGAUUAUGACAAUAUGUGCUUAUUUCUUGACCAAGUCACGUGCCAGCCGUCGCGGUAAUACGUGGAAGAUCAGUGUUAUUCAUCUUUAUCAGGUUUAAAGGGUACCUAGACGGUUAAUUAAGCUUUAGUAGGAACUAAUUAACUAGAGUUUAAUGUAAGAAUGAUUGAGUACGGUGAGUGUAGAGAUAAAAUUCUGUCAUACCACUUAGGAACUGGUAAAAGCGAAGGCAACUUUCUAUGUAAAAACUGACGUUAAGGGACGAAGGCUCGUAUCAAAUAACAGGAUUAGAUACCCCAGCAUUGUGGGCAGACAAUGAUGAGUGUCAUAUGCAAGAGAUAAAAAAAAAAUAUUUUGUGUAUAAAUGAAAGUGUAAGCACUCCACCUCAAGAGUAACGUGGCAACAUGGGAACUGAAAUCAUUAGACCGUUUCUGAAACUCGUAGUGAAGUAUGUUGUUUAAUUAGAUGGUGCACAAAUAACCUUACCACAAUUUGUAUAACUAUAGUACAUAAUAAUAAUAUAGUUACAAGCGUUGCACGGCUGUCUUUAGUCUAUGUUGUGAAACUGUGGUUAGAUCCAUUAAAUAGACGUAAACCCUUACCUUAUUUAUUAUAAAGUAGUUCGCCGCUAUAUCGGUAGUGAUAUAAAGGACUAGGACA